UCGAGUUUCCCUUGUAUACAGAUUUACAAAACCAGAGAAGCAAAGAGAAGAAAAGGUUCCAAAGUCCAACGUUCGUUAACGAUAUCUCAAAGAUGGAGGCCAACGAAAAACGCGCGACUUCUUCAUGCAGCGUUGCUGCAGCAGCGGUGGACGGCGGCCUGGUUAUCUUAGCCAACGAAGCAAUUCAUUCAUUUCUCGCUGCAUCUACCCAGGACACUAUCCUAUCUCAAGACCUGAGAGACCUCGCCGCCUCACUCUCUCAGCGAGCCUGCGUGCCCUACAGAGCUCUGCGAUCCAUCUGGAUUGGAUCCAACCCGUCGGAACGACCUGAACUCGCCUCCAUUCUGUGUGGAUCCGGAUUUGCGUUCUCAAGCCCCCAGCCGCGAAAGAAGAGCGAGGAAUUGAUGGCUCGACUACGGAAGCUGGCGGAGGCAUCCGAGAGGAAAGCUUAUGAGGAAUUGGUGAAGGACAUAACCCCCAAGAAGAAAGUCCAAGAGCCUUUCUCUUCUUACAAGGAUCAAUUAGGCUUCGGCAUACACGUUGUGCUUAUGAUGUUUGCUGGCUUUUUGGUUGGAUAUGCUGCAUUCAAGGCUUUAUUUAGUCACAGUCCUGCUAUGAGUGCUGCUGGUGGCAUCCUUGGACUGGUUAUUGGCAUGCUUGUAGAAACACUUCUUUUCAUUGUUAGAACUACUAGUCUAGAUCGAAGAUCCACUUCUUUUGUUUCUAAGACAAAAAAGAGUCAGUAAACUUCACCAUAAGAGGCUCAACUUAUUCGCCAUUACCUAUGAGGCCUUCACUUGAAAAGAGGUUAUCAUUUGCAAAGUUUAUUUGGUAUUUACAGGAGGGAACAUCUUUAAUCAGGAAGAAGGAAGAGUUAUAUUAUCCAUAUUGCAAGCUGAAGAGGGCACAAGAUUUGUCAAGGAAUGGAGGAAGUAUCUCAGAUCAAGAGGCAAGAAUUAUGAGCGAUGCUCCUUCAAGUUGUGUACAAAGUUUUUUGAACAACCAUUGAUUUUCUUUUAUGUAUUCCCAUGUGGUGUGGAGUAUAAAUAUACUCUACAACUUUUUUUUUUUUAGAACUUCUUAUUUAUUUAUUGUUUCGAAAAUGAUGUCUACAAGAAAGACUUGUGAUAAAAAGGGUCCUCUAAGAAUUUCUGUAAAAAUUAAGGUA